rnacentral:rRNA from 1 species
UGCAUGUCUCAGUGCAAGCCACACUAAGGUGAAACCGCAAAUGGCUCAUUAAAUCAGUUAUGAUUUAUUAGAUGAUACAUUAUAUUACUUGGAUAACUGUGGCAAUUCUAGAGCUAAUACAUGCAAACAGAGUUCCUGCUUUUAAUGGCAGGAACGCUUUUAUUAGAUCAAAACCAAUACGUUAGUUUCGGCUAACGAUAUCAUUGGUGACUCUGAAUAACUUUUUGAUGAUCGCAUAGUCUUGUACUAGCGACAAAUCUUUCAAAUGUCUGACUUAUCAACUGUCGAUGGUAGGCUUUACGCCUACCAUGGUUGUAACGGGUAACGGGGAAUCAGGGUUCGAUUCCGGAGAGGGAGCCUGAGAAACGGCUACCACAUCCAAGGAAGGCAGCAGGCGCGCAAAUUACCCACUCCCAGCACGGGGAGGUAGUGACGAAAAAUAACGAUACGGGACUCAUCCGAGGCCCCGUAAUCGGAAUGAGCACACUUUAAAUACUUUAACAAGUAUCCAUUGGAGGGCAAGUCUGGUGCCAGCAGCUGCGG